rnacentral:lncRNA from 1 species
CGUACACUGUAAUUCCUGCUCUGUUGUGCUCAAAAUAUGUCACUGCACAAAUUUGCAACCAUAAUCAGCCGCAUGAGGUGCGUAUUUGAAGAUCUAUGACCAUUUUAACUUUUUAGAUUGCUGAUACUUACCUAAGGCUUGUCUCUUCUGGUACGAUACAGUAUUUGCAUGAGCUGGCACCACGUUUUUAUUAUCCAACUCAUCAUCUCCAUCUCCUUCUUCAUUAUCUGUAUCCCAAUCGGCAGUAGCACAAUAUGUCGCCCGGGCUGAAGCAAUCUGGGCUGUAGGAGUUUCAUCAUCCAAACCAUCAAAGGUCUCCAUAGUAGCAGAAGCAUGCCACUUAGCUGCAAGAGAUGUAACACCCUGCGCUUUGUGUGUGAUCUUAGCUGCGCUACGCAAGCAUAUAAAAAGCCCUGUUACCAAGGUGAUGGAGCAUAACUGCAACAAAGUUAUACAAGAUUAGUUAGUCAGGCAAUGUAUACAGUAGAGGUGGAAAUAUUUUGUAUGGACUGGCAUAAUCAUAGUUAGGUUACUCAAUAUAAUGUUAUGAGAUUAGUUAGUCGAGUAAUGAUAACUGCAAUAAAAUGAUAUGAGAAGUCAGUCAAGCAACAUAUAUAUGGCAUUAUCAUCAUAAAGUUACUCAUUACAAAGAAUUAAAGCAUGUUUUGGAGACAGUAGUACUGAACAUGCUUGGUAUUAUUAGAUCAUCAUUCAAUGGACAAGUAUUUUGACUAACUUGCUCGAGGGUCAGAGACUCCUUUUACAAUGUUUUCACACAUCAAAAAACCUCUCUAACACAGUUAUUGAGGAUAAACAAACUCAAAUCGUUGUACUUAACUCGAACAAGGCUCAAAGUGAAAUAAUAAGCAUCCUGGUGCAUCGAGGAGCUAGUACAGUGUGGGAAAUGAGUGGGAAUGACAGGUGACUUCCAUCGCUGCCUUUCAGCCUUUCUUAUCCUUUUGCAGCGAUUCAAGUAAAAAAGAGAAAGCUGAAUUGCAACAAUGGUAUGGAGCCACGUCCUAUCCAGCAUAAACCCGUACACUGUAAUUCCUGCUCUGUUGUGCUCAAAAUAUGUCACUGCACAAAUUUGCAACCAUAAUCAGCCGCAUGAGGUGCGUAUUUGAAGAUCUAUGACCAUUUUAACUUUUUAGAUUGCUGAUACUUACCUAAGGCUUGUCUCUUCUGGUACGAUACAGUAUUUGCAUGAGCUGGCACCACGUUUUUAUUAUCCAACUCAUCAUCUCCAUCUCCUUCUUCAUUAUCUGUAUCCCAAUCGGCAGUAGCACAAUAUGUCGCCCGGGCUGAAGCAAUCUGGGCUGUAGGAGUUUCAUCAUCCAAACCAUCAAAGGUCUCCAUAGUAGCAGAAGCAUGCCACUUAGCUGCAAGAGAUGUAACACCCUGCGCUUUGUGUGUGAUCUUAGCUGCGCUACGCAAGCAUAUAAAAAGCCCUGUUACCAAGGUGAUGGAGCAUAACUGCAACAAAGUUAUACAAGAUUAGUUAGUCAGGCAAUGUAUACAGUAGAGGUGGAAAUAUUUUGUAUGGACUGGCAUAAUCAUAGUUAGGUUACUCAAUAUAAUGUUAUGAGAUUAGUUAGUCGAGUAAUGAUAACUGCAAUAAAAUGAUAUGAGAAGUCAGUCAAGCAACAUAUAUAUGGCAUUAUCAUCAUAAAGUUACUCAUUACAAAGAAUUAAAGCAUGUUUUGGAGACAGUAGUACUGAACAUGCUUGGUAUUAUUAGAUCAUCAUUCAAUGGACAAGUAUUUUGACUAACUUGCUCGAGGGUCAGAGACUCCUUUUACAAUGUUUUCACACAUCAAAAAAUCUCUCUAACACGGUUAUUGAGGAUAAACAAACUCAAAUCCUUGUACUUAACUCGAACAAGGCUCAAAGUGAAAUAAUAAGCAUCCUGGUGCAUCGAGGAGCUAGUACAGUGUGGGAAAUGAGUGGGAAUGACAGGUGACUUCCAUCGCUGCCUUUCAGCCUUUCUUAUCCUUUUGCAGCGAUUCAAGUAAAAAUGGUGUCACAAUUGUCAUCAUCAAAUAUUAACACGUAAAACUAGUUUUUACAUCCAUGAAUAUGCCUCAAAUCUAGUAUAAUGUUUGAUGUGUUACUUGUCCAAUUGGCACAAGAUUCAACUUAAGUCUUACUUAAGUGAAAGGUCAGAGAUUCGAAUCCUGGGAAUGGGAUAGAAAUCUGUGAAGGGUAAGAUGAGCUUAGGCUCUUCUAGAGUGGACAAUACGUAAAUUAACUACUUGGGCAUAGAGGCAGAAUUGUUACACAAAGUAUACAACAGCGGUGGAAAUAUUUUAUAUGGAUUGGCAUAAUUAUAUUUAG